rnacentral:snoRNA from 3 species
UGGAUCGAUGAUGACCACUGGUGGCGUAUGAGUCGUUCACGAUGAAUACGUGUCUGGAACUCUGAGGUCCAA